CUGUAACCUGAUGUAACCUGUGGCAUCUCAGCUGUAGGCCAGGAACCCUGGAAAAGCAAGCUCGCAUUCACGAGGAGCCGCUUACUCUUGAAAGCCCAGCUGUCUUGCAAGAGGUGCCGCACAGGGUAGGAAGAGUUGGGAGCGAACAGUCUGAGGAAGUGGACUGUGGAAGCUGAAGGUUGUCCAGCCAAAGCUGAGUGUGUGGCUCUGACACUGACCAAGGCUGGAAAGAGUUACUGUGUGGACAGAGAAUGUUAGAGCCGGGUGAGCUUUCACAGGAUGAAAGAAGCGAGGAGAGAAUCGAAUGGAAAGAAUUGCUGAGAUCAGGCAGCUGGCAAAAGAGGAGAGAGCCCCUGCGAGGCAGAGCCCCUGGAAUGCCCUGUCCCGGUCUGAGGUUCCCACUUUUAUCUCCGACUCCCGGAGAAUUGCUGGAGCAGAACCAGAGAGUGUCCAUUUUAUUUCCUGCCUUUUCCAAUAAACGGUGACUUUCAGCUGGAGUGUGUUCCUGGUGUUAUCCUCCUCCUCCUCCUCCCUGGAUUUGUAAAUAAAUGUCCUGAUUUUGGCCAAGUAGAAUUUUGUUGUUCCAGGCAUUGUGGCUCUUUUGUUUCAUUGAAACUUCCCAACUCUGCUGAGACUUUGAGAUGUCAAAUACAAGUAAGACUGGAGUUUCUUGGGAUUGUUACUCACACAAAAUAGGGAUCCUUCUUGGACAGGAGUAACUUGACGUGUUUAAUGCCGCUUCCCUUUAAAAUCAGAGCAGGGGAAGCAGAUUUGAAAUCAUCAUUCCAUGAACUUGCACCAAAUUCCUCCAAAGCUGCAAAAGUUUUCCUUGUUAGAAAUUCCUGAGCUUGUUUUCCAGGCAAGCUGGGAUUUAGAUGUUCUUUGUUCCUUGGAUUUGCUGGUUUUCCUCUCUCUCAUUUUAGUAAAGGAUUUUUUUUUUUUCAUAUUUUCCAUGCUGAUUGGAAUUUUUGUACUGCUCAGGGCACAUUGCCAAGGAAAUGUACCAAUUUCAUGUUGGUAAAUCAGGCAUUGUUCAGCACCAUAUGCCCACAAGUCUGUAAAUUUCCAGGGAAACUUGCUAAGUGUUGAAUUGCCAUAAUGAAUCUCUUUGUAAAGUUGAUUAUACUUUUUUCUUUAUUUUUAAUUACUUUGAAUUUUUUAUGUAGGGUUUUUUUUUAAUAAGUGAUGUCUUUUUGUAUUUUUAAAUUUUUUCUUUUAAAAAAUUUUCUAUUUUAAUUUUUCCUUUGUAAUUUUUCCUUUGUAAUUUUUCCUUUGUAAUUUUCCUAUUUUAUUUUUUCCUUUUUAUUUUUUUCCUUUUUAUUUUUUCCUUUUUAUUUUUUUCCUUUUUAUUUUUUCCUCUUUUUUUCUCUCUUUAACUUUUUCCUUUUUAAUUUUUUCCUUUUUAUUUUUUUCCUUUUUAAUUUUUUCCUUUUUAAUUUUUUCCUUUUUAUUUUUUUCCUUUUUAAUUUUUUCCUUUUUAAUUUUUUUCUUUUUAUUUUUUCCUUUUUAUUUUUUCCUUUUUUUUUUUUUCCUUUUUACUUUUUUCCUUUUUAUUUUUUUCCUUUUAAUUUUUGCUUUUUAUUUUCUUUCUUUCUAAUUUUUCCUUUUUAACUUUUUAAUUUUAUUUUUUUCUGUGUUUUACUUGAAAUUUUAUUUGAAAACUUUUUUUUUUUCUUCAUGUUUUCUUUGUGUUGGUGUGUUUUGGUUUGGUUUG